AUACGGAGGGGGCUAGCGUUGUUCGGAAUCACUGGGCGUAAAGGGCGCGUAGGCGGUUUAUCAAGUUAGGCGUGAAAGGCCUGGGCUCAACCCGGGAACUGCGCUUAAUACUGGUAGACUUGAGUCCGGGAGAGGGUAGUGGAAUUCCCAGUGUAGAGGUGAAAUUCGUAGAUAUUGGGAAGAACACCAGUGGCGAAGGCGGCUACCUGGACCGGACCUGACGCUGAGGUGCGAAAGCGUGGGGAGCAAACAGGAUUAGAAACCCCAGUAGUCC
rnacentral:rRNA from 1 species